UUAUUAAUUCAUCUUAAACCUUCAGAUACUUCGGGGUAUCAAAAAUGAAAAGGAGCUGCUCCUAUUUUU
rnacentral:tRNA from 1 species